rnacentral:rRNA from 1 species
GGUCAGGUAGAGAAUACCAAGGCGCUUGAGAGAACUCGGGUGAAGGAACUAGGCAAAAUGGUGCCGUAACUUCGGGAGAAGGCACGCUGAUAUGUAGGUGAAGCGACUUGCUCGUGGAGCUGAAAUCAGUCGAAGAUACCAGCUGGCUGCAACUGUUUAUUAAAAACACAGCACUGUGCAAACACGAAAGUGGACGUAUACGGUGUGACGCCUGCCC